AUUGAACGCUGGCGGAAUGCUUUACACAUGCAAGUCGAACGGCAGCACGGGGCAACCUGGUGGCGAGUGGCGAACGGGUGAGUAAUACAUCGGAACGUGCCCAAUCGUGGGGGAUAACGUAGCGAAAGUUACGCUAAUACCGCAUACGAUCUACGGAUGAAAGCGGGGGAUCGCAAGACCUCGCGCGAGUGGAGCGGCCGAUGUCAGAUUAGGUAGUUGGUGGGGUAAAGGCUCACCAAGCCAACGAUCUGUAGCUGGUCUGAGAGGACGACCAGCCACACUGGAACUGAGACACGGUCCAGACUCCUACGGGAGGCAGCAGUGGGGAAUUUUGGACAAUGGGCGGCAAGCCUGAUCCAGCCAUUCCGCGUGCAGGAUGAA
rnacentral:rRNA from 1 species